rnacentral:tRNA from 1 species
GGUAGAGUGGCCGAUGAUAGGCGUGGGGCUGUAAACCUCACCAUGGAGCAAGGCUCCCUCUAUCA